rnacentral:rRNA from 1 species
UACGUAGGGGGCAAGCGUUGUCCGGAAUCAUUGGGCGUAAAGAGCGUGUAGGCGGUCCGGUAAGUCGGUUGUGAAAGCCCAGGGCUCAACCCUGGGAUGCCGACCGAUACUGUCGGACUAGAGUUCGGAAGAGGCGAGAGGAAUUCCCGGUGUAGCGGUGAAAUGCGCAGAUAUCGGGAGGAACACCUAUGGCGAAGGCAGCUCGCUGGGACGUUACUGACGCUGAGACGCGAAAGCGUGGGGAGCAAACAGG